rnacentral:lncRNA from 1 species
UUUGGAGUUCAUUGCGAUUGGUAACGUGGAUCGUGACAUUUCAGUGGCUUGUUGCUGGUUCCAGAAUUCAAUGCACCCUCGUUCCCACUGUGAAGAACACGCCAAAGGGAUACGUUGUAAUUCAAAGUAUGACAUUGUAAUCAUCCAUCGACAAACCUUGACAUAGAUUGAACGAUGGAUCCAAACACCAGUCUACUUUUUUAUUUCAAAAGUUGUCACACACAUGACUGUAAAACAAAUAUCUGUUCUUGUGCACAUACAGUCAUAGUGCACACACCCCUUUCACACCCAUCCUCUUCUAGCUGAAAUAGACACAGAUACACUUUUGCUGUUCAGAGACUCAACCCUAUUCAACAUGAACAAAGCUCUGGUCUGUGCUGUCUUCAUCUUUCUGGUGUUUUCUGUGUUCACAGAGGCCAUGGAGGGGAAUGCUGAUCCCCCAAAGGACAAGGUAUUGUGUUAACAUUUAGGUAACAGCCUAAAGUGUUGUGAAAUGUCUAAAAUGGUCCUAUGUCCUUCAUCUUUCAGGCAUCGGGGGCAAGCACCUUGACUCUUCCGUUUUUGCUGCAGUUGGGGCUGAUGGUUGCACCUGCCUUAUUUCAAACUCUGCUGUAGCACUUGCUAUGCUCUCCUUCCACAAGACUCUGCAGAACUUCUGCAAGAACGGGGGCAACAACAUAACAAUAGCUUUAAUGACUAGGCCUACUAUAUUUACCUGUACUGUAGACCCUAGCUGACCCGUUUCCAUGAUUGAACACCAUGAAAUUCUUAACCCAAAUGAUCUUGUAAUAAUCAUACAGAAACAGAAAUAAAGUUGUGUAUCUACA